rnacentral:rRNA from 1 species
UACGGAGGUGGCAAGCGUUGCUCGGAUUCAUUGGGCGUAAAGGGUGCGUAGGCGGCGCGGUAAGUCGGGUGUGAAAUCUCGGAGCUUAACUCCGAAACUGCAUUCGAUACUGCCGUGCUUGAGGACUGGAGAGGAGACUGGAAUUUACGGUGUAGCGGUGAAAUGCGUAGAUAUCGUAAGGAAGACCAGUGGCGAAGGCGGGUCUCUGGACAGUUCCUGACGCUGAGGCACGAAGGUCAGGGGAGCAAACGGG